UAGUAGACACGGGGUUUCACCAUGUUGGCCAGGCCGGUCUUGAACUUGUGACGUCAGGUGAUGCACCCGCCUUGGCCUCCCAAAGUGCUGGGAUUACAGGUCCAGAUUUUGAACAAAUCUCGCUAGAGAUUGAACAGAGCUGCGCCUGGAUCCCGCCACAGUGAGGAGACCUGAAGACCAGAGAAAACACAGCAAGCCCCUGGAUCCUCCUGGAAUCCCCGAUCCCUCUUGCUCCCUGGCAGAGUUUUCUAGUCCCUCUUACUUGAAGCAUGUCUUUCAGAGCCCGGCACCACCCAUCUUGAGUAUCUGGUGAGUUCUGUGGUCUGCAUGUCCAUGUUUGGGACAUUCUGGGAAGGGUGGCCCAGGCUGUGAUUUGCCAUCUACUGCAGGCUAUGGAUGGUAUUCAGAAGGGAGGGGAGAUGCUGUGUGCGUGUUCUGAAGGGUUUCCCACUAAACAGAUCAACCCUCUCCAUAACUAUUUGAUUUUUACUUUAUCUCCUCGUUGACUUCACAGUGUCAGUGCAGUUUGUGUAAACAUCUCUAUGGGGUGAUGCAUGCAGAUAAAUGUUUAUGUGAACAUAUAAAGUCUGCAUGUGUGGGUGAACACUCCACAUCAGGUCAUUGUCCAUCAUUACAUAUCUGUGGUGUCUGGCUCAUUCGUCUCGUUUUCUGUCAUUUUACCUACUUUUA
rnacentral:lncRNA from 10 species